GACGAACGCUGGCGGCGUGCUUAACACAUGCAAGUCGAACGGAAAGGCCCCUUUGUGGGUCCUCGAGUGGCGAACGGGUGAGUAACACGUGAGUAACCUGCCCUUGACUUCGGGAUAACUUCAGGAAACUGGGGCUAAUACCGGAUAGGAAUCCUUUCUUCAUGGUGGGGGUUGGAAAGCUUCGGCGGGUUUGGAUGGACUCGCGACUUAUCAGCUUGUUGGUGGGGUAGUGGCUUACCGAGGCGUUGACGGGUAGCCGGCCUGAGAGGGCGACCGGCCACAUUGGGACUGAGAUACGGCCGAGAUUGCGACGGGUGGCAGAAGUGGGGAAGAUUGACCAAUGGGCGGAGGCCUGGUGCAGCAAGGCCGCGUGCGGGAUGACGGUCUUCGGGUUGUAAACCGCUUUCAGAAGGGGCGAAGCUUGUGGUGACGGUACCUGCAGAAGAAGCACCGGCUAACUACGUG
rnacentral:rRNA from 1 species